UUGGUUGGAUCCCCGCUGGAGCGGCGACGUCUUCCCUUGCAUUCCUCCUCAGUCGUUGGCCCAAGAGCAACGUCACCAGCCUUGGCCGCCUGUGGGUUCCUGUAUUGCAUACCUACCCGAAGGAAUUCGGACGUCACAACGAUCGACGUUCGUCCAGCGCCGUGCCCCUUGUGCGGGCGCGGCGUGGGGUGAACCGCGAAGGCGAGUUCGUGCUCCGAGCCGCAGCCAAGCGAUGCGUCCCGGCCCACGAGCUACCGCCUGAGCUCUCGGAUGCAGUGCACUAGGAGGGCAGGGGGUGCUCGACGACCUCUAUUUGCCCGAACUCGGCGUCCAUCGCCCGCACCGAACGACUGCUGUCGUCGCCUCGGGGCGUCGCAACCCUUCGGGUUUGUCGGCCUCGUGCGACGCCGGCGUCAGUUAGGAAUGCUACCUGGUUGGAAUCCUGC
rnacentral:misc_RNA from 1 species